CCGAGUGAGGGCCUCCGGUCCGACCUCCAACCCUUUGUGGACCGAUACCUGUUGCCUCGGGGGCGACCCGGACGCCGACGCGUCGGCGUCGGGCACCCCGACGGACCAUCUCAACUCUGUAUCUGUACGUCGGAGUGAUUAGUGAAUCAAUCA
rnacentral:misc_RNA from 1 species